rnacentral:rRNA from 1 species
UACGUAGGGUGCAAGCGUUAAUCGGAAUUACUGGGCGUAAAGCGUGCGCAGGCGGUUGUGCAAGACAGAUGUGAAAUCCCCGGGCUCAACCUGGGAACUGCAUUUGUGACUGCACGGCUGGAGUGCGGCAGAGGGGGAUGGAAUUCCGCGUGUAGCAGUGAAAUGCGUAGAUAUCGUUUGGAACGCCAACGGUGAAAACAGACAGCUGGGAGUGUGCUGACGCUGAGACACGAAAGCCAGGGGAGCGAACGGG